rnacentral:rRNA from 1 species
GGGUUGUGAGGUUAAGCGACUAAGCGUACACGGUGGAUGCCCUGGCAGUCAGAGGCGAUGAAGGACGUGCUAAUCUGCGAUAAGCGUCGGUAAGGUGAUAUGAACCGUUAUAACCGGCGAUUUCCGAAUGGGGAAACCCAGUGUGAUUCGUCACACUAUCAUUAACUGAAUCCAUAGGUUAAUGAGGCGAACCGGGGGAACUGAAACAUCUAAGUACCCCGAGGAAAAGAAAUCAACCGAGAUUCCCCCAGUAGCGGCGAGCGAACGGGGAGCAGCCCAGAGCCUGAAUCAGUGUGUGUGUUAGUGGAAGCGUCUGGAAAGGCGUGCGAUACAGGGUGACAGCCCCGUACACAAAAAUGCACAUGCUGUGAGCUCGAUGAGUAGGGCGGGACACGUGGUAUCCUGUCUGAAUAUGGGGGGACCAUCCUCCAAGGCUAAAUACUCCUGACUGACCGAUAGUGAACCAGUACCGUGAGGGAAAGGCGAAAAGAACCCCGGCGAGGGGAGUGAAAAAGAACCUGAAACCGUGUACGUACAAGCAGUGGGAGCACGCUUAGGCGUGUGACUGCGUACCUUUUGUAUAAUGGGUCAGCGACUUAUAUUCUGUAGCAAGGUUAACCGAAUAGGGGAGCCGAAGGGAAACCGAGUCUUAACUGGGCGUUAAGUUGCAGGGUAUAGACCCGAAACCCGGUGAUCUAGCCAUGGGCAGGUUGAAGGUUGGGUAACACUAACUGGAGGACCGAACCGACUAAUGUUGAAAAAUUAGCGGAUGACUUGUGGCUGGGGGUGAAAGGCCAAUCAAACCGGGAGAUAGCUGGUUCUCCCCGAAAGCUAUUUAGGUAGCGCCUCGUGAAUUCAUCUCCGGGGGUAGAGCACUGUUUCGGCAAGGGGGUCAUCCCGACUUACCAACCCGAUGCAAACUGCGAAUACCGGAGAAUGUUAUCACGGGAGACACACGGCGGGUGCUAACGUCCGUCGUGAAGAGGGAAACAACCCAGACCGCCAGCUAAGGUCCCAAAGUCAUGGUUAAGUGGGAAACGAUGUGGGAAGGCCCAGACAGCCAGGAUGUUGGCUUAGAAGCAGCCAUCAUUUAAAGAAAGCGUAAUAGCUCACUGGUCGAGUCGGCCUGCGCGGAAGAUGUAACGGGGCUAAACCAUGCACCGAAGCUGCGGCAGCGACGCUUAUGCGUUGUUGGGUAGGGGAGCGUUCUGUAAGCCUGUGAAGGUGUACUGUGAGGUAUGCUGGAGGUAUCAGAAGUGCGAAUGCUGACAUAAGUAACGAUAAAGCGGGUGAAAAGCCCGCUCGCCGGAAGACCAAGGGUUCCUGUCCAACGUUAAUCGGGGCAGGGUGAGUCGACCCCUAAGGCGAGGCCGAAAGGCGUAGUCGAUGGGAAACAGGUUAAUAUUCCUGUACUUGGUGUUACUGCGAAGGGGGGACGGAGAAGGCUAUGUUGGCCGGGCGACGGUUGUCCCGGUUUAAGCGUGUAGGCUGGUUUUCCAGGCAAAUCCGGAAAAUCAAGGCUGAGGCGUGAUGACGAGGCACUACGGUGCUGAAGCAACAAAUGCCCUGCUUCCAGGAAAAGCCUCUAAGCAUCAGGUAACAUCAAAUCGUACCCCAAACCGACACAGGUGGUCAGGUAGAGAAUACCAAGGCGCUUGAGAGAACUCGGGUGAAGGAACUAGGCAAAAUGGUGCCGUAACUUCGGGAGAAGGCACGCUGAUAUGUAGGUGAAGCGACUUGCUCGUGGAGCUGAAAUCAGUCGAAGAUACCAGCUGGCUGCAACUGUUUAUUAAAAACACAGCACUGUGCAAACACGAAAGUGGACGUAUACGGUGUGACGCCUGCCCGGUGCCGGAAGGUUAAUUGAUGGGGUCAGCGCAAGCGAAGCUCUUGAUCGAAGCCCCGGUAAACGGCGGCCGUAACUAUAACGGUCCUAAGGUAGCGAAAUUCCUUGUCGGGUAAGUUCCGACCUGCACGAAUGGCGUAAUGAUGGCCAGGCUGUCUCCACCCGAGACUCAGUGAAAUUGAACUCGCUGUGAAGAUGCAGUGUACCCGCGGCAAGACGGAAAGACCCCGUGAACCUUUACUAUAGCUUGACACUGAACAUUGAGCCUUGAUGUGUAGGAUAGGUGGGAGGCUUUGAAGUGUGGACGCCAGUCUGCAUGGAGCCGACCUUGAAAUACCACCCUUUAAUGUUUGAUGUUCUAACGUGGACCCGUGAUCCGGGUUGCGGACAGUGUCUGGUGGGUAGUUUGACUGGGGCGGUCUCCUCCUAAAGAGUAACGGAGGAGCACGAAGGUUGGCUAAUCCUGGUCGGACAUCAGGAGGUUAGUGCAAUGGCAUAAGCCAGCUUGACUGCGAGCGUGACGGCGCGAGCAGGUGCGAAAGCAGGUCAUAGUGAUCCGGUGGUUCUGAAUGGAAGGGCCAUCGCUCAACGGAUAAAAGGUACUCCGGGGAUAACAGGCUGAUACCGCCCAAGAGUUCAUAUCGACGGCGGUGUUUGGCACCUCGAUGUCGGCUCAUCACAUCCUGGGGCUGAAGUAGGUCCCAAGGGUAUGGCUGUUCGCCAUUUAAAGUGGUACGCGAGCUGGGUUUAGAACGUCGUGAGACAGUUCGGUCCCUAUCUGCCGUGGGCGCUGGAGAACUGAGGGGGGCUGCUCCUAGUACGAGAGGACCGGAGUGGACGCAUCACUGGUGUUCGGGUUGUCAUGCCAAUGGCACUGCCCGGUAGCUAAAUGCGGAAGAGAUAAGUGCUGAAAGCAUCUAAGCACGAAACUUGCCCCGAGAUGAGUUCUCCCUGAGACUUUAAGUCUCCUGAAGGAACGUUGAAGACGACGACGUUGAUAGGCCGGGUGUGUAAGCGCAGCGAUGCGUUGAGCUAACCGGUACUAAUGAACCGUGAGGCUUAACCUUACAACGCCGAAGGUGUUU